UGGAGAAAACACUUGCUGUAACUCCUAGCAGAAGCAGACCAUAGACAAUCCCAAACUGCAGGCAGGGAAGCGGGAAGGCAGCUGCACAUCUCCGUCAUGGCUGAGGGCACUGUUAAUUGAAUUUGUGCCAAGUGACACAAAUCCCUUACCUGAUCAGCAACUGACUGGAUGGAGGUGACCGUGAUGAGCUGGCUAUACCUGGGCUGC
rnacentral:lncRNA from 1 species